UACAGAGGUCCCGAGCGUUGUUCGGAUUCACUGGGCGUAAAGGGCGCGUAGGCGCCUGUUAAGUCGAACGUGAAAUCCCCAGGCUCAACCUGGGAACUGCGUCCGAUACUGGCAGGCUUGAAUCCGGGAGAGGGAUGCGGAAUUCCAGGUGUAGCGGUGAAAUGCGCAGAUAUCAGGAGGAACACCGGGUGGCGAAGGCGGGUCUCUGGGCCGAUACUGACGUGGAGGAGCGAAAGCGUGGGGAGCGAAACAGG
rnacentral:rRNA from 1 species